GUUAUUUAUAUGUUGACUAUAGAGAAACCAAAUUAAGACAUGCUUAAAAACUAACCCUUGAAAACUUACUAUAGAACUGAAGCAUUCACAGGGGAUGGCUUGAAACAGAGGAAAAAGGAUGCACAAUGGACUAUGGUGAAGGAUCCUGAGUGAUUUGGUGAAAACUAUUUUAAAAAGAAAAGAAAAUUUGAAGGAAGGCACAUCAAGCAUAGAAAGUGAGCCCACAGGGCGUGGGUCUCAGGAGCACUCUCUUAUCUUACUUACCUAGUUGCAAAAGUCCAUGGAUGCAGAACCUGUGGAUAUGGAAGAUCACAGAGGGCUGAUUGUAAUGGAAGAAAAAAGGAAUCAAUGGUGGCCUUUGAAGGAGAGACAUGACACCAAAGUAGAAAUGUGAAAUUAUUGCUGAAUUCCAGAGCAAGAUCUGUUUGUUUACUGGUUCAGAGAGAAGUGCUACAGGUUGAGAACCUUAAGGGAUGUGAGAAAGAGGAAGUGCUGACUGGUUAUACUUCUUGAAUGAGAACAGAGAAGAGAGGAAGUGGCAAUUGAAGACUUGUCCAGGUGGUCUUUUUGCCCUCUCCCAGACAGAAAAAAAUUAGGGUACAUUUAUUGCAUGAGGGAAAAGAAGGUAUCAAAUUAAAAGAAGACAAUGAAGAUACAGAUAAUGAAUAGGAUUUCUUGCUUCAAAUCCUCACCGACAUUUGGUGUUGCUAGUAUUCUACAGUUUGGCCACUAUAAUAGUUGAGGAAACAGAGAGAAGUUAUAUAACUUGUUCAAGAUAACUCAUCUAGUUAAGAACUAAGUUCAAAUUCAAAUCCAGGGAGGCCAAUGUCAGAG